UGUUUUUUACCACCCCACAUACGCUACGCUUAAAAUAAAAACCGUAACAAUAUUAAAGUAAUAUUAAAACUAGUUCAAGAAAACAAUAAUAAUUAAUAAGAGUACAGUUAAUAUAAAAAUUGUAGUCUAAAAUGAAAAUGCUACGGUUUUUAUAACCGUAACAUUUUAAACAUAGUAUGUCCGCCCAAUUAUAUUAAACAUAGUAUGUCCGCCCAAUUAAAAAUAUAGGAACAAAACCCUUGUUUAGAUUUGGAAGAGUGGAAGAACAGCCUCCUUUCAUUCUCCUUCGCUCUCCUCAACACUCAUCAACUCACACUAAGUUCCCGACCACUCAACAGCGCCGCCGAUUCGGGUUUCCGGCCAACACGCUUCCCACUCCUUCGUUUCCUCUUGCGUGGUCCCUCUUUCCCGCUCGAUUUCCCGUUGAAGCGCUGUUCACAAUACUCUCCAUUCGUGCGGCUUCUGAAAUCCUCUAUCCUCCAAUGAAGCAGAUUCUGAGGCAAUACCUCACUCUCUCUCACAAUCGCUUUUUACAGUAAAAAGGAACUUUGCUUCCUGAUGGUUCCCCCGUAUUCCCGGUGGUUGAAAUUUGUUGUAUUCAUCUUCAGUGGUGUUCAUGUGUGUCCAGUUUGCGCCGUUUGUUCGGUGAAGGAAUCCUUGUACUUGAAGCUUUGGGAUUAGGAAACUGGGUAAAAGGUUAAGAAUGGGCUGCUAUUCCAGGAGAUCAAGCAACCUACUUAGCCGACUGUGUUCUAUGGGGAAACCCCUUCCUACACUUUUGGCAAUUGAGUUUUUAACUACCAAAUUCGUAGAGCACUUAAGGAGAAUAGAGAAAGAUACAUAGAAGGAGGACCCUGGUGGAUCAUUCGGUCUGUUGGAUACUCUAAGGACCCAGAGAAGUUCGAGAGAGUUGGAGGUCAAAAAGAUUAAUACUGCACAGACCUUGCUGCAGUAUUGUUCAGGUAAUAGGGAACUGGCAACUGCUGAAUGUGCGGAAUUCCAGUGCAUUAAUUACUUUCCACACUGGCUGGGUCACUGAUUCCGAGCCUAGUCAAAUGUUUACUCUUUAAAUUGGACAGCUUGUUAACUUGUGAAAAUAGCAAGUUCCCUUCUAACUAUCGUUCUAUUAGGCUUAUUAUGCCUGCUUUCCUUGCAUCUGAACACUAAAGCUAUAUUUAUGUCUUAAAGGUAAAUUCACUAGUGUCAAUGAAGUUUUAUAUCAUGCGUUUUUUCUCUAAAGCAUCAUAUUGCAGGUUAUGACUCCUAUCUCACUGCUCAACUUGCUGGGCAAUAUGUUGCAGUUGAUUCAUCAUGACAUUGAUGCUGCUUCUGUCUUUGAUGCUGCUACUACUUCUGUGCUGCUACUGUUCUGCCUAUGUGGUGCCCUAAGUCGGUUUUGAACGACCAUUGCCUAUUUGCCUUUUUCUACUACUGAGAUGAUCGAGCAUGCUUGUGUCCAAAGCCGAUGUUGUUGCGGUUUUCAUUUGUUAAAUAGGCUGCUAGCCUUAUUUGUAAUGUCUUCUUAUUUGUAAAAAGUAUACAUUGUAUAACUAAGAUAAAUUCUAUGAAAAAAAAAUGUUUUUUAUGUAUAUGUUAUACACUUAUCAUUAAUUAAGCUUUAAAAAUGCAAAAAAAUAUAUUUAUUUUUUUUAAAAAAAAAAUUUGGACCACUUAAUGCUACGGUUUAGAAA